rnacentral:rRNA from 1 species
AACGAACGCUGGCGGCAUGCCUAACACAUGCAAGUCGAACGAGACCUUCGGGUCUAGUGGCGCACGGGUGCGUAACGCGUGGGAACCUGCCCUUAGGGUCGGAAUAACUCCCCGAAAGGGGUGCUAAUACCGGAUAAUGUCUUCGGACCAAAGAUUUAUCGCCUUUGGAUGGGCCCGCGUUGGAUUAGCUAGUUGGUAGGGUAAAAGCCUACCAAGGCGACGAUCCAUAGCUGGUCUGAGAGGAGGAUCAGCCACACUGGGACUGAGACACGGCCCAGACUCCUGCGGGAGGCAGAAGUGGGGAAGAUUGGACAAGGGGCGAAGGCCUGAGCCUGCAAUGCCGAGUGAGGGAUGAAGGCCUUAGGGUUGUAAAGCUCUUUUACCCGGGAUGCUAAUGACAGUACAGGGAGAAUAAGCUCCGGAAAAAUCCG